UAGUCCACGCCGUAAACGAUGUCUACUAGCCGUUGGGAGACUUGAUUUCUUAGUGGCGCAGCUAACGCACUAAGUAGACCGCCUGGGGAGUACGGCCGCAAGGUUAAAACUCAAAUGAAUUGACGGGGGCCCGCACAAGCGGUGGAGCAUGUGGUUUAAUUCGAUGCAACGCGAAGAACCUUACCAGGUCUUGACAUCCUGAAAACUUUCCAGAGAUGGAUUGGUGCCUUCGGGAAUUCAGUGACAGGUGCUGCAUGGCUGUCGUCAGCUCGUGUCGUGAGAUGUUGGGUUAAGUCCCGUAACGAGCGCAACCCUUGUCCUUAGUUGCCAGCACAUAAUGGUGGGAACUAUUAGGAAACUGCCCGUGACAAGCGGGAGGAAGGCGGGGAUGACGUCAAAUCAGCACGGCCCUUACGGACUGGGCUACACACGUGCUACAAUGGUGACUACAACGAGUCGCAAACCUGCGAAGGUGAGCUAAUCUUUAAAAGUCAUCUCAGUUCGGAUUGGAGU
rnacentral:rRNA from 1 species